GUGACUCCAAGCCACCACCCACCCCACUGCCAUUAUACUGUACAGUGGUCUGACAACCUUGAGCAGCCCUCAGUGUUGGGUCCAGAGUGGGUGAUUAUCCAAGAAGGAUAAACUAUGGAAGCAGAGGGGAAGAAAAAAUAUCCACAGAAGCGUGGUGGGGGAUGCCUACAGGAGGUAAGUUUCAGGUCCACCAUAUAGUGACUGAACAAUCCCAUACAUUUCUCAGUGCUCGUCAUGGAACAACAGAGAGCUGAUGAAGGGAUUCAAGCAGGGACGUGCCGUGAGCCAGCUUGCAGCCGUGGACGAGUUCUCCCCCUUCUGCCUGGAGAGUGACUAAGAAAGCAACAAGAGAAGACGCACAAAACUCCACAGAGGAGGUUAUCUGGUGGACCAGGUGUUUUGUUUUGUUUUAGAUUUUAU